rnacentral:rRNA from 1 species
CUACGGGGUGCAGCAGUAGGGAAUAUUGCGCAAUGGACGAAAGUCUGACGCAGCAACGCCGCGUGGGUGAUGAAGCAUCUUGGUGUGUAAAACCCUGUCAGUGGAGAAGAAACGCAUGGGUAGUAACUGACCUGUGCCUGACGGUACCCACAGAGGAAGUCCCGGCUAACUCCGUGCCAGCAGCCGCGGUAAUACGGGGGGGACAAACGUUGUUCGGAUUUACUGGGCGUAAAGGGCGCGUAGGCGGACUUUCAAGUCGGGUGUGAAAAUUAUCGGCUUAACUGAUAACUUGCACUCGAUACUGUUGGUCUUGAGUUUAUUAGAGGAAAGCGGAAUUCCAGGUGUAGCGGUGGAAUGCGUAGAUAUCUGGAAGAACACCAGUAGCGAAGGCGGCUUUCUGGGAUACAACUGACGCUGAAGCGCGAAGGCUAGGGGAGCAAACAGGAUUAGAUACCCUGGUAGUC